GGAGCGGUCAAGUGAACCUGCUGGAAAAAGACCCAUGCCCCUGUCCAAUAUCGACUUGCUGGAGCGGGAGAAAGAAGCCGCUCGCGGACGAGAUUUUGAGCUGUUGACCGGUUUGACCCAAUUUAAUUCAACUAAACAAGCACGAGUUUGGACCUCUUAUAUAUAGUUUUAGACCUAAAAAUUGUAGUUUUAUCACAUUUUCUCUCGAAACUUUGUCUAAACUUGUAAAAGCUUGAAUCUUUUGAUAAUCUAAGGAAGUACUUCAUCUUAUAUUUGUGUUUCUCUUGCUCAUUAACAUGAUUAGCCUUGAUCCUUACAUGGGUUUAAGGUUUCUCAUGGAGAUUAGUGAGUAGUGACUCGUGAUUCAUGGAUCAGAUAGAUUAGGGUGAUUAGGUGGAUAUUUAGGAUGUUUAUUGCUUGAUUAAAAUUGUUCAAUGCUUGCUAAGUGUUCUUAAUGCUAGAUUAGACUUGAUCACUCUCAUCUAGACCUUAAGUUAGUUUACGCCCGGAAGUGUUUGUUAAAAUGCUUGAAUGAACUUAGUAUUGUCUUUUAAUACUUGGCCAACGACAGUUGAUGUCCGAGAUGUUUAAGUGGUUAGUAGACUUGUGAUUCAUGCAUGCUUGAUUGCGUUAGCCAACGACAGUUGAUGUUUAAUUCAUGAUUAGCAUAGUGGUUUUUGCCACGACAGUGGAUUAAUCUAUAUUGAAUGAGAUCUAGACCUAUAGACUUGUUGAUUGUUUUGUUUGAACAUCCUAGAUUGAACCUUGAUCACCUUAUAUCAAUUAUCUUUGCCCAUGGAUCCAUCCUUAGCAUUUGAUUGAAAGUUCUUGCACUUAUUGCACUUAUUUCUUGAUUGGAUUUGAGAUCACCUUGUUUAUAUUCCUAGGACAUUAUCUUGUUACAAAAUCAUCCAUAUUCUUGUUUGCUUAGAUUAAGGAAGCUUGUGUAUUCUUGGUGUUAUAGAUCAUUAGUUCCUUGUGGAUUCGAUCCUAAAAUACUACAAUGACAUACCAUUCGAUUGUAGUAUUAUUGGAACAUUAGGUUAAUUGGUGUGUGUUUAAACGUUUAAUCAAUGUGUUUACCAAAAAAAAUACUAAAUAUAUACAGUCUGUAUGCUUGUUAGGUUUUUAAAUUUAUAUGAAAUUGAUAUUAAGAAUAUGAUAUACUUUGUCCGAAGAAUAUUCUAGGUAGACUUGAUUUGAUUUUUCUAUUAAAUAUACAAUCCGAAUUCAUUUUUUGUAUUGCAAGGCACGUUAAAUAUCACCAUUUGGAUUCAUAUACUAUGGAUUCUACAUUAACAAAAAAACAGAGAAUAGAAAGAUCGCGGGUUUCUGAAUAAAAAUGAGCAAAAAAAAAGCCUCCAAAUAAUAUAUUUGGAAAUGUUAUGAAUAUUAUGGUGAUGUCAUUAUGGCAAGUCUUAAAUAUACUUGUUCUCCAAGCUUUACUUGUUCUCCAAGUGGUUUUGUCUACGAGCUAUUGUAAUCAUAUAUAAAGGAUUCAUUACUCAUGGAAUAAUACACAUCAAUUUCUCAUCUUCUCUUUUUACUUAUAACACGUUAUCAGCACGAAACUCUAGCAAUCUUGAACUAGUAGGUAUAGAUUUUCAUUCUACUAUACUUUUAGUCUAUAUUCAAUCCCUUUUCAAAUCAUGCUUAUUAUCAAUUCAUGGUUUGUAAGAAUUGAUUCAUACACAAUAUAAGCUUAGGUGCUUUAGUCGACAAUAUUGAUCUACCAUUGUUUUAAGGAAAGAAAAUCAUUGGAUUGAAAAGAGAUCUUGUCGAUGUUUAUAAGCUAAUGCUCAAUUUUAUUACAGUUUAUACCCGUAUGUGCUCUCUUUGUAAAUUAAUCAUAUGUGAUGCUUAUAUUUUGUUAUUGAAAGUCAUCACGUUGGUAUCGCUUUCAUUACUUAUUGUUAAUAUUGCAUUCAUUCGUAAAACUAAACAUGUCAAAGUUAGCAUUACUUAGCAUCCUUGCUACUGCAUCUUGUUAAGCAUAUUUAAAGUUCUCAUACGGCUGCUAAUUCUUAAAGCAUAUUAGUUUAAUAACUUACGAGCUGUUGAUAUAUGAUAAUUAGUAAUAACAUCUUAUCUUUUGUUCAAAAAGACAUCAUGUUGCUCAUGUUUACGGCUGCAUAUUGUUAUUAGAAUCUUCAUUCUUAUUUACGGCAGCAUAUUGUCUAAUGAUUAUUAAAUUUAUUAACCUAUGAAACUGUGUAUUGGAUUCAUAAAAUAAGAAUUAUUUUAGAAUUGAUAAGAAAUUGCAUUUAGACUUUAAGGCCAAGUAAAUGCAAUAUAUUAUUUACAUAUAUGAGUGCAUACAAUAUUGUAAAAGUCUUAUGGUUGAGUGCUUGCAAUAUAUUAUGUGUAUAUAUGAAUAGAUAUAAUAUUAGUAAAAUUUCUUUUUAGCAUAUGAAGUCACUUUACUCGAGAUAUAUGGUUUUACUAAUAUCAAUGUUUACUAAUGUAAUAGUCAUACUUACAUAAGAAUACUUACUGUUUGUCUUGUUAUUUUUUUUUGGUUCAAUGUUCAUUGGCUACUGAUUUGAACCAUUUAAGUUUUCGUAAACAAUUGGUCAUUGUUCUCCGUGAUUAGUAUUCACUUUAUUGGUAUUAUAAUGCGAAAUUACUUAGAAUAACACACUUUUUAUGAGUAAUGACUAGAAUAACAUACCAAAACAAAAAAAAAAGAAAAAAGUGAGUUAAAGUCCAAAAUACCCAAUCAAUAAAUAGAUUUAAACGUAAUAUAACUUUUUAAUACAGAAAAAUGAAAGAUUCUAGAUAAAGUAGAAGCUUUGGUUGAACAAAAAAGGUAAAAAAAAAUAAAAAAAAUUUCUCCCCCACGACACUUUCUCUUUCCCGUGACCCUCCCCAAGAACCCUAAAUCUCCAAAUUGUGUAAUCCUCAAACUUUCGAUUCUCUUUCUUAUUAAGAUGAUUCCUCAUCGAUUGGGUCAUGUCAACACUCUACUCUACCACUAAAAGCUUUCGAUUCCUCAUCCACUCAGCCGGCGAACCCUAAAUCUCCUUUCUAAAAUUCAAAGUUUCGUCGAAGGUGGUGGCUUUAUUUACGUUUUCUCAGUUGUUUCUUCAGAUACAACCUCAUCUCCUCUUGAAGCUAUUCAAUUGAAAUAGAAAUCGUGGCAUCAAAAGAUAUGACUACAUCAAGCACCCACAGAAAUAUCCAGCAAGACUUUAUGAAGAGGGAAAAUGUCCACUGCAAUAUCGAUCAAUGAAUCAUAACUGUCACUUGGCUGGUUUGCAGAUGGUGGAGGAAUCUGUUGUCUUGGAUGCGUGGGAAUCCAUUAAGGCAUCUUCUGUUGGAGUUAUUAUAAGGUUCAAAGAGAUGGAUUAUACAUGGUCAGCCCAAGUCGUUCACCAUUUGCUGGCAAACCAACUGGUCGUGGAUAAUCUUCAUGAGCUAUGGUCUGCAAUAGAAGGACAGCCAAUCAGGUUUUCGCUAUAUGAGUUUGGUGAAAUAACAGGUUUGAAUUGUGAACCUUUCGACAUCAAUGAUAAGGUGGAGGUUGAUCAUAAGGCGUUUUGGGAAGAGAUUGGUGUGUCUCCUUCACAUGGUCCAAUGUUAUCUGAGUUGCGCGAAUUGUUUCCUCGCAUUAGGAAUUGGUCAUUUGAGAAGAGAAGAAUGAUUGGCUGGCUUUGUGUCUUAUCGAUUGGCAUAUUAGGCAUCUCUCCCGGUAGCAGAAUUCCUUUGGAAGAAGCGAAGAGAGUCUUAGACGCAGAAGCUUUUGAAAGAUAUCCUUGGGGGCGUGUCGGAUUUUCCAGCCUCGUUAAUUCAGUUAAGCUUGUUUCAUAUGAAGGAAAGAAGAAAUAUACACUUCGUGGAUGUGUUCAUGCUCUUCUCAUCUGGGUGUAUGAAUCAAUACCUGGCAUUGGGCAUGAAUAUGGGAACCAUAUUGAGGGUAACCAAGUUCCUCUUCUCUCUUGGUCUGCAUCCCGUCCCCGUAUACAGUGGGAUAUGUUUUAUAAAAAAGAGAAAAAAGCUCACCAGAAGGUAGUUUCUUACAUUAUUGUUAACUCUUAUUAAAAGAGAUCACUUGUAAUGUAUUCAUACUAAUGUUUUUUACAUGACUUGAUUGGUAGGUGCGUGUCAGACAUCUCAUUGUUAAGGCAGAAUCGGACAUAUAUUCUCAAUGGGAUGAUGACAAGGUUGAUGAUGAUCUUCAUAACUUGAUUUUAGACAUUCUACAUGACCAGCUUGAUGAUAAGUACUGGAGCUUGAAGGCAACUAAUGAACCAGUAGCAAUCAAAAAGCAAAGGAAUUUAGUGACUGAAGAAGAUGAUUGCAUGAAAAAAAAAAUCCAGCGAAGAGGAAAAUCACAGACUGUGGAUCCAGCCUUAACUCAGGUGGAGAUGAUGGAUUCAGGCAUGAUCUAAUGGAAGCAGUGAAGACAUUGACUGCAACGGUUCAAAAUGUGGACACAGUUGUUGCUGAGAAGGUGUUGACUACAUUAGACACAAAGAUUGAAGCAAAAGUAAAUGCAAGAGUUGCUCAAGCCGAGCAGGUACUUGGCAAUCAAAUCUUAGCAUUACAAGAACAAGUUGCUAAAAUUACAGAGCAGAUGCAAGCAAAUGCCCCCAAAAAUGAUGCACACAUUGUAAACCAAGAAGAUGAAGUCAACAGCAAUGACCCGUCAUGGAUGGUCCAAGACAAGACACCAUUUGAUGUAGAUGCGGCAGUGCAGUGUGUGGUUAGAAAGAAAGCCAAGAAAUCCGAGGUCAAGCUAACGUCUCCUAUUCUACUUGACACUGUUGGAGAUUCGGUUACUAGAAAAAAUCAAGUAAAAAGAACCUGCUGGAGGUUUGAUAAAUGUUAAGAAGGAGAAGAAUGGAGUUCCACAACUUAGAGAUUCUGCUGAAACAUGGUCUGAUUUAGAAGAUAAGCAAAAAUAUGACAACCUAGGUACCACGUUAGACCAGUUAGUGGCAUCAAUCUUAGAAGGACCUUUGCAUAAACGCAAGCCACAGCUGACAAAGACUCACGUGUAUCCAUAUGUUGGUAACUCAACUGUGAAGAGGAUCAUAACAGGCGAUUCUGAGUGUAUAGCCGACUGUGAUCCGUUAACUAAAGUUGAGGAAACAAAAUUUAAGAAGCUAAUGGAUUAUCUACGAAGUAUUGCGUAAGUGUAAUGAGUAACAUGUCUUAUUUUUUCUUCAUAAUUCAAACUGUUAGACUAACUUGAGCUUGUUUUUCAUUCAUUUCAGUGGUGAUAACGAUGUAGACACUCACUUCUACAUGAAGCUAAUAACGCCAAGAAAUCUUUGGAAAAAAGAUGAGUGUGGGUGGCUAACAGAUUCUCAUAUGGCAUCUGCAAUGCUUAUGUUUCAUAAAAGAUCUAUGAGGAACCCUUCACCAUACUCAUCAAGGAUAGCUUUUCUUGACCACUGGUUUGUCAACACGUGGGUCAGAGACUACAAGAAAUACGAUCCUAAGACAUGGAAGUUCUCAGAUACGUACAAGAAGGUCUUCAAUGGCAAUUAUCCUGAAGAGUUUUCCAACAACAGAAAGUGGCUGAAGGAUGUUGAUCGGUUGUUUCUUUGCCACUUGAUCAAUGGUAACCAUUGGGUCGCUUUAGAAGUGGAUCUUGACAAGAAAAUAAUUCAUGUUUACGACAGCAUACAUACAGUUGUCCCGAGCAUCACAGAUCUUCUAGAAGAGUGUCGUCCUUUCACGAAGAUGAUUCCGUUAUUGCUAAAUGAAAUGGUUCCAGAAAGGAAGAAGAGUUCACAACAGUUCAGGAUUUCAAGACCUAAAAGUGUGCCUAAGAAUGAAGACCCUGGGGAUUGUGGUGUUUACGCUCUGAAGUACAUAGAGUGUAAGGCAGUUGGUUGUGGUUUUGAAGGACUUUCUGACCAGUGCAUUCCGGCAAUGCGUAUUAAGUUAGCUGCCGAGAUCUAUGAUGAGGUCUCGGGUCUGUAGUAUUUUCAUGUUUUAGAAACAAAGUUAUUUACUGUUAUGUAGUAUUUCAUGUUUUGGAAUCAUUAUCUACUUGCUGCCUUGAAGUUGUGUAAUUUCAUUAUGAAUUUUUAGUAAAAAUCGUUGGAAUCAGGCAGACUCAUAUCUGCAGACAUCGUUGCCCAUCUUGCCUUUGUUUAUUAUGAGUACAACAGGACAAAGGACAUACUGUAUAACCAGUAAAUAGAUUGUGUAACUAGAAACAAGAAACAAGCAUGUCAAAUUGUCACCAGAAACAAGAAACAAGUCCAAAUCGAAACAAAAAACAAAAGAUUUAAACUGUCUAACCAGAAACAAGAAACAAGUACAAAUCGAAACAAGAAACAAAAAAAAACAUAAGACUCAAACUGUCUAAAGAACAGGACAUGUUUUGCAAUUGUGACCAACCUGAUUACAAAUAGAACAUUUAUGCUCUUUUCUUGGGCGUUUCUUAUUUUCACCUUUCUCAAGGCAAGAUUUCAUUCUUGAUUUUUUGGGUCUCCCUGGUGGUUGGCGAACCACCGGAGGUAAACAAAUGAUUCCUGCGAUAUUUUCAGGAACUGAUGUAUCAGCAUCUCUCGGCAGUACUGCAGUGGAGUAAGCAUUGUGCAUAUAGUUUGCACGGUAGUAUGGAUGACAUAGAGAAAUCGUUGAUAACUUUGUCACCUCUGCUGCUGCUAUUGCAUGCGUGCAUGGUAACUUUUCUAUGUCAAAUCUGCGGCAUGAACAUCUCCGCUCAGUCAAAUUCACUAUGUGUGUAGUUGAGACACCAGAAACCUGAUAUUGGUGAAUAUCUAUCUGCUGUACGCUGAGCAUUUUAGAAUAUGGUACACGUCCCUGUGAAAGUAUGUUUGCAACAUUAGUUUUGUGUUCAUAAAAUAUUCAUGUGUUAUAGGAACUCAAGUGUACCUCUAAAAGCUUCUCAACUCCACGAGUUAGAGUUGUUUUCAUCAAAUAUGCAUCAUUCUUCCGUGCCAAAAACCAUCGUGUCAUCAUUAGCCUUAUUGCUUCUAAAAGUCUUACAAUCGGCAAGUUUCUUGCUUCUGAAAGCACUCUGUUUAUAGAUUCAGCUAUGUUGGUCGUAGUCAAGUUGUACCUAUCACCAAGGAAAUGAGCUCGUCACUACAAGAAAACAGCGGUAUUCUGACGGACAUU